rnacentral:rRNA from 1 species
AAUCCAUAGGUUAAUGAGGCGAACCGGGGGAACUGAAACAUCUAAGUACCCCGAGGAAAAGAAAUCAACCGAGAUUCCCCCAGUAGCGGCGAGCGAACGGGGAGGAGCCCAGAGCCUGAAUCAGCAUGUGUGUUAGUGGAAGCGUCUGGAAAGGCGCGCGAUACAGGGUGACAGCCCCGUACACAAAAGCGCAUGUGCUGUGAGCUCGAUGAGUAGGGCGGGACACGUGGUAUCCUGUCUGAAUAUGGGGGGACCAUCCUCCAAGGCUAAAUACUCCUGACUGACCGAUAGUGAACCAGUACCGUGAGGGAAAGGCGAAAAGAACCCCGGCGAGGGGAGUGAAAAAGAACCUGAAACCGUGUACGUACAAGCAGUGGGAGCACCCUUUGGGUGUGACUGCGUACCUUUUGUAUAAUGGGUCAGCGACUUAUAUUCUGUAGCAAGGUUAACCGAAUAGGGGAGCCGGAGGGAAACCGAGUCUUAAUUGGGCGUUAAGUUGCAGGGUAUAGACC